GUGAGGAAUAUUGGUCAAUGGACGCGAGUCUGAACCAGCCAAGUAGCGUGAAGGAUGACUGCCCUAUGGGUUGUAAACUUCUUUUAUAAGGGAAUAAAGUGAGGGACGUGUCCCUUUUUGUAUGUACCUUAUGAAUAAGGAUCGGCUAACUCCGUGCCAGCAGCCGCGGUAAUACGGAGGAUCCGAGCGUUAUCCGGAUUUAUUGGGUUUAAAGGGAGCGUAGGUUGACGUAUAAGUCAGCUGUGAAAGUUUACGGCUCAACCGUGAAAUUGCAGUUGAUACUGUAUGUCUUGAGUGUACAAGAGGUGGGCGGAAUUCGUGGUGUAGCGGUGAAAUGCUUAGAUAUCACGAAGAACUCCAAUUGCGAAGGCAGCUCACUGGGGUACAACUGACACUGAGGCUCGAAAGUGUGGGUAUCAAACAGGAUUAGAUACCCUUGUAGUCC
rnacentral:rRNA from 1 species